AGAACCAAAAUGACAUUUUGAAUCGUGAGAGAAGGAAAAGAAAGAGGAAGAAGAAAAUGAAAAGGUAAUUCUAUUUCUUAUUUGCUGCUGUAGCAUCCUUAAUUUCAAUAUUCUCCCUCAGCACACUUGCUUCUUAACUGCUCUAAGGUUAGACAGUACACAAUCUACAGCAUUUAGAACUAUUCUUUUUUUAUUUUUUUGGGUUAUAAAAAAAAAACCAGGUGGAUUCACUCAAAUGUCUUCAGUAUGUAAUGGUAAUCAAUUGCCAAUAGAUGCCUUGUGCCCUGAAAAGUCGGACAAUGUUCGUUCUCAAUCUACAAUAAAUUUUCAUAGAAGCAGUGCAUGCAUUUUGGCCUUCCUGAAGAAUUAGGCUCUGUGAAAUUUCCAAAUUAGUAGUGGCCAUUUUCCCUUUUUUCUCUUUUCCAAGCAUGUUGUUAAUAUGCAUUUUAUUUGAAAGAUGAGCUUCCUACUGUUGGAUUCAAUUUCCUGUUAAAUUGGACAUCAUAAUUCAUUAAUAAGCAUUGAAAAAAAAAAAAACAUGAGGUAGACAGCGAAGGCGAACAUGUGGAUAAGGAACACGAUGACUUAUUGAAUCUAGAGGAGGAUGAGAACCAAAAUGAC
rnacentral:misc_RNA from 1 species